rnacentral:misc_RNA from 1 species
GCCCUUCGCUCCUUCCUUUUCCUUUCCUCCUUCCUUUCCUCCUCUCCUCUUUUCCCUCCCCUUUCGCUCCUUGGUAUUCCUUGGAGCAUGCCUGUUUGAGUAUCAUGAAAUCUUCAAAGUAUCUCUUUUGUUAACUCAAUUGGUUUCUACUUUGGUAUUGGAGGUCUUUGCAGCUUCACACCUGCUCCUCUUUGUUCAUUAGCUGGAUCUCAGUGUUAUGCUUGGUUCCACUCGGCGUGAUAAGUUAUCUAUCGCUGAGGACACUGUAAAAGGUGGCCAAGGUAAAUGCAGAUGAACCGCUUCUAAUAGUCCAUUGACUUGGACAAUAAUUUUAUGAUCUGAUCUCAAAUCAGGUAGGACUACCCGCUGAACUUAAGC